UGGCUUUACAAAUUUUGACCAUAGCAUUCAACCAAUUAUUAGAAUGAAAAAUCUCACCCCUCCAUAAAUAUGACAUUAACAUAAUUAUACCACCCCCAUCACAGAGACCCAUCCUCCUUAGGGAAUACAUCUGAUGCUCCAAAGAUGGAAAUCAGUCAGAUUUUUAGUUGCUCUCCAACGUACCUUUGCUUCUCACUGACUGACUGGCUUUUACCCUCCACGCACUCACACGCCACCCCCUCCCCUCGGCUAGACACGGAUGCCCGAGCGAGCACGCGCGCGCGCUCACGCUCGCCGGCAUACAGACACACGGAGAGUCAGGCUAGCAUCUGAUGCUGACUCAGAGCGCUUCUGUGUGCAAGGGGUGGCGGCGGCUGGUAUUUUCACUGCGCUCAUCAUUAACAUUAACGCACAGUCUGGCAUCCACCCUCUCCCAGACCUGCUGGACUGCGGCAUUUGCAUGACGCUGUCACUCUUGCCUCUGCAGGAAUUAGAAGACCAGCCCUGCCAGGAUCUGACUAAUCAAUGUGAUUUACACUGUGGUGAAAUGCUAAAUUGUGGACUGACAUCAACCAACAAGGACAGAACUAGCCAUCGGUGACUCUACAGCAUACAAAAAAGGCAUACAAAAGGGAAGCAAAGGACACCAUCCUCCAGCCAAUGCUGUCUGGUGCAGCAGAUAUGCCAGUUUACUCUCACAGACAUUCCCAGCAUGCAGUGCGGCGCUGCAGGACCAACUAAGGAUAUUAAAUCAUCAAUACAGAAAUAAAGAGUCAACUUCUUCAUGAGAAGAUAAAAGUUUAAAGACAAGCUAAAUCAAAAAGGACAGUUGCACAUAUGAACUCAUAAUAGCUGUAACAGCAUAAAACAAACAACCAAAAUUUAAACAAACAAACAAAAAACUUCUGUGAGAUCCAGUCAACAAUAUCCUAGAAUGAAGAAGGGAGGUUGGCUCAAGACCAUCCACAACUGAAGAACAUUUGGUAAUUGAUAGCUGCUGGGACAGGAAGAGUCAUUUGUCCUUAAGGGUGUGGUCCCUGGUUUCAGCCCUAAAAGAGCUACAAGUAAUCAAUGGUUGCUGGGAACAUGAGAAUUCAUCUUCAGGGAUGAAGCCUCUGAUAUUCUAGCCAAUCCCAAGAGAAGUUACUGAACAACCAGUCUCACCAUCCUUCAUCUCAGGGACCACUGGAUUAAGAAAAUGACACUUACGCUCUGUGCUACAUCCUCAGUUAUGUUCAUCUUUGCCUCCACCUGCAUCCAGGAUGCUUUUGACUGCAGUUAGUAUCAAUUCCAUCCAUGGAAUCUUCUCUUUUGAGCUUCCUAUUCAACCAACUUGUACCUGUGCUGUAUGAGUCAGUAAACACACAUGUACUCAGAAUGAUGGUAACUGGGCAUCGAUCACAAACCAAACAAAAAGGUUCACAAAGGCACAAAGCACUGCACCGAAGCUGGACCAAUCCUUGCCAUCAGCUGGCAGCAGAAUGGUAGACGGUGGGAGAGACCCUGAAUCCUUCCAGGCUGGGCUGACUUGAGAAAUGAGAACUGCACACGUUUGACUCCCGAACCGAAGGGGUGAAAAGGCUGGGUGCCAGUUUGCUACUCGGCUGAAAUGAUCUCAUGUUCACUGCUCUGUCGUCCUGUUCGACCAGUUCAAAUGCCUGUUCAUUAUAAACCAAAUACAUACAUAAAUAAAUAACCCAACUACUUGGAUUCUUCAGUAACCGAAAAAAAAAAGCAGAAUUUAUCAGGCGUGAAAGGGACAGCCUCCUGGUGGCCUGCCAAAAACCCAGAAUAAAGGCGAAGUUGUGCUUCAUAGCUCAGUUGCUUGCUGAGUCUGGCUAAAGUCAAGUAUUAAGAUCCACCAUUUUCUGAUCCUUGCUAGAAAAGAAGAAAAAAGUCAGGCCCGCUGCUGCUUCCAAGUCUCCGUUGGCACCAUCACAAAAUCUCAGUCGUCAGGUCACGUGAUCCUCUGCCAAAUGUAGAGUGAGUGCAUUCCCAUCAACCAUUCUGCUGAUACUGCGAAGGCAGCUAUUGUCUCGUUUAGACCCAAAGUUCAGCCCACUCUUCAUUGAAUUAGCUGAAAAACGCAUCACCUUUGGGGGCUGGGAGUCAUGGUAACGUCUACCUGGCAAGCUGCCCACUUUUUCUGCCCAUCAACCAGAGAUGGGAUUGUGCUGCCUAACGCAGUGAUGACUUGGAAUGUGAAGAGUCGUCCAAAGUGAAUCUAAUUCUUGCAACGCCUGUUUCAUUUGCACAGAAAACUCUGCCUUGUAGUUAGGGGAGGAGAGGCGUGGGGGAAUCUUUCCUACCAAAAGUAGCAAAUAAAGGUCUGAACAUGCCUACUUUGCAACUUUAUUUCUCAACACACCCAAACGGCUCUCAAAUGAGAAGACUGAACACCCU
rnacentral:lncRNA from 1 species